UGGGGAAUAUUGGACAAUGGGCGGAAGCCUGAUCCAGCCAUGCCGCGUGUGUGAAGAAGGCCUUUUGGUUGUAAAGCACUUUAAGCGAGGAGGAGGCUACUUGGAUUAAUACUCUAGGAUAGUGGACGUUACUCGCAGAAUAAGCACCGGCUAACUCUGUGCCAGCAGCCGCGGUAAUACAGAGGGUGCGAGCGUUAAUCGGAUUUACUGGGCGUAAAGCGUGCGUAGGCGGCUUCUUAAGUCGGAUGUGAUAUCCCUGAGCUUAACUUAGGAAUUGCAUUCGAUACUGGGAAGCUAGAGUAUGGGAGAGGAUGGUAGAAUUCCAGGUGUAGCGGUGAAAUGCGUAGAGAUCUGGAGGAAUACCGAUGGCGAAGGCAGCCAUCUGGCCUAAUACUGACGCUGAGGUACGAAAGCAUGGGGAGCAAACAGG
rnacentral:rRNA from 1 species